rnacentral:rRNA from 1 species
GAUGAACGCUGGCGGCGUGCCUAAUACAUGCAAGUCGAGCGAACGGACGAGAAGCUUGCUUCUCUGAUGUUAGCGGCGGACGGGUGAGUAACACGUGGAUAACCUACCUAUAAGACUGGGAUAACUUCGGGAAACCGGAGCUAAUACCGGAUAGUAUUUUGAACCGCAUGGUUCAAAAGUGAAAGACGGUCUUGCUGUCACUUAUAGAUGGAUCCGCGCUGCAUUAGCUAGUUGGUAAGGUAACGGCUUACCAAGGCAACGAUGCAUAGCCGACCUGAGAGGGUGAUCGGCCACACUGGAACUGAGACACGGUCCAGACUCCUACGGGAGGCGGCAGUAGGGAAUCUUCCGCAAUGGGCGAAAGCCUGACGGAGCAACGCCGCGUGAGUGAUGAAGGUCUUCGGAUCGUAAAACUCUGUUAUUAGGGAAGAACAUAUGUGUAAGUAACUGUGCACAUCUUGACGGUACCUAAUCAGAAAGCCACGGCUAACUACGUG